CCGGAAGCUUCUCUAAGGAGCACGGAAAGAUUUCCCAUGGCGCUGUCCCCGGUCCCGGUCCCUUCCCGGUGGCAGAUGUGCCCAGGGAGGCUGGGACCCGGCGGACGAAGGAAAGGGGCGCUGGAGCCCUGAGUGCAUUUGCUUUCUGGACUGUAUCUGCCGCUCCUCAGAGACAGACUGAGUACCUCAGAUGCAAGAGCCUAUUAAAGGAGCUGGUGCUCACUCUGCAGGAUUCCCUGGAAUAGAGGGCACGCUUUGGGCCUGUCCGCAGUGGGGGAAGCACAUCCAGACCAGAGGGAAGUUCCUGGAUGACAGCUGAAGCCCAGUACGCUUUGGAGAGAGGACUGAGGGCCCAAGGAGGGAGAUUUCCCAGGAAAAAAAAAAGAUUUGAGAUUUGAUGCUAUCCCUGGUAUUGAUAAUUUGCAACAACUUAAAGAAGCAGGGCAGAUAAUGCAAGGAGAAAAGAAAAACAGAAGAUUUAAAGGAUUUCCCUGCUGGUCCAGUGGCUCGGCGACUCAAGGUGAGUGACGGGUGCCGCAAGCUUGAAGAAGACACAGACACAGACUGAAGAGAAAGAUGGGACCGGGGGACUCAAGACCUCUAGGAUCAAGCGCUCCACUGACUCAUCCCAGGCUGCUUUUAUUGAGUUCGUGGGCUAACAUUCUCAGGUUACACUCAUAAACAGUCAAAGGCCUCACAUGAUUGAGGCAAUUAUCUUUGUUUACUUCCUGGGUCCGAGCUGAGCAGGUGUGGAUUUGAGCUGGGUGUGGAGAGCAAAACAGCCCUGGGGGCAGGAGACCUCUCUCAGAUAUUGGGGGUCUGUGCCCCACCCGUGUUGGCCCCUCUGCGACUGUGCCUGUCUUAGGUUGUUCCUCCCUUGAGGAAUCUUACCCGUCUCUGGCUAACCAGUCCUCCUCCAGGGCCAAACACGGUGAUAUAAGGAAGGCUCUAUGCACCACCCCUGUUGGCCCCUCUGCGGCUGUGCCUGUCUUAGGUUGUUCCUCCUCUGAGGAAUCUUACCCGUCUUUGGCUAACCAGCCAUCCCUCAGGACCAAACAGGGUGAUAUUAGUCUCCACGCCCCGCACCCUCAGCUCCUCCACUGCUCAAGCAGGACAUUCUGAAUCCCAUCGCUCGGCCCACAUACUUCAACACUUUCAAUGCUUCAAAAAGGUUCCAGAAUGUCUUCCCACAAUUUACCUUUAUUGGCUGUGUUGGGUCUUCAUUGCUGCACAUGGGCUCUCUCUAGUUGCUGCGAGUGGGGGCUACUCUUCAUUGUGGUUCGCAGGCUCCUCAUUGUGGUGGUUUCUCUUGUUGCGGAGCAGGGGCUCUAGGGCGCAUGGGCUUCAGUAGUUGCAGCACAUGGGCUCAGUAGUGACGCAUGGGCUUAGUUGCUCCCCAGCAUGUGGGAUCUUCUUGGGGUAGGGAUUGAACCCGUAUCCCCUGCAUUGACAGGCGGAUUCUUAAUCACUGAGCCACCAGGGAAGUCCCCAGGUUUCUUUUCGUGAUGAUGAAAAUCAUGCUUUGUAAAUAGGCGGUGAUGAUGGUCACACAACGCUGUAAAUGUAAUUAAUGCUACUGAAUUGUAAACUUAAAAAUGGUUAAAACUUUUUGCCAUAUAUAUUUUACCACAAUAAAAAAUUAUGUAUUGACUGGAAAGGGCUCACGAAGAAACAU